GUUGCUUUGCAGAACGGAUUCAAUGAAUGUAUCAUGUGCACACAUUAGAUCCGGCGUCGGAGUAGCAGAGGGUGACGACAAGGGGGAGCGAGUGUCUGGGAAACGCCUUUCAUGCCACGCCAGGGUGGAGGCGGAUUUGCAAACACUGAUUUUCUCUUCUCUUAAGGAAGGUUUCAAAGGGAAAAGGAGUCUGCGCAAGGACUGAAGAGGUUUACACAGAGGCCCUGAAGGGGGUCGCUCCACCAUGCAGGAGGAAUGCAGCAUCUCAUAGGAUCUGGUGCAAAACCCACGAGUGCUGGUGCCUGCAGAACUCAAGUGGGUCUCCCUUCCUACAGAGAGCAUGGAUCUGUAUCUACACAGCCUCUGCUGUAACCCAAGGUGCUCCUGGUUACAUAUUGUCUCCCACGGCCAUCUGCGACUUCCAUUUAACAUCUCAUGGCAGGAGGAGGGGCCUCUUUCUUGUGUUGUGCCUGGUCAGUGAUGUGGGGAGAAAAAUGCCCCUUGCCCACCCCACAAGCUUGUCCUAGGAGCCAGCAGUGCCUUUCAUUGCUAGUUAGCAAAGAGCUGAGACCGUUCCAAGGACUGGUGGGUCCUACUGCUGGAUGGAUCCUUGCUUGCCAGCCGCACAUCCUCCAGUCGUGAGUUGUGGGGGUUUACUGGCUGCUGUCGGGGUGGAUGUACAAGGCUGGUGGCGAGGCAAAGCUGCAGCGUGCCGGGCUGGCAGCUCCCCAGACACUACAUGGCUGUUGGAGCUGGGGUUGUGGAGUGUAGUGAGGCAGCGUGGCCUCCAUCCGAGCCAGAGCGGGAGGAACCUCUCUCUCUACCCAGCUGGGCUGACCCUCCAACAGGAAGUUGGGGGCAGGACAGGAAGGAUAAAAGGCAGAGCCUCUAGCUUAGUGGGGGCUGAGCCAGGGAAUAAGACAGAUGUGUCCUGCUUGCUGCUACAUUCUGACCCUGCUGCUGAGCCAGGCAGUGCCCUGGACCUGGAAAAGACCAGAACCAGGGAGGAGCUGGAGCUGAUGGGACUGCUGGUGGCUGAAUACCCAAACAAACCUAAGGAGCUGAUGUGUUUUCAACCAGCUCUCUUGCCUCAAGGCUGGAUGGUGCCACAGGCCCUAAUUCUGAUUCUGGUUCUGAUUGAAAGUGGAACAGAAGCUGUUUAGAUUAAUCCCUGGGACGGAUUUAUUUCCUGGGGUGCGAUCCCUCGUUCUGCCACCUGUAUGAAGAUUGCAGCUGGACAAAUACAACAAAAAAAUUCAAUUACUAUUCACUCGCAACUUUAAAUGAGUCCACACUGGCCGUGUUCUUUCUCCCUGCCCCUUUGCGCCUUCCCACAAACAUUCAGGCAAGCCAGUCAAAAGCUCGUGAAUGCCAAAGUUGCACCUGUAUAUUUCUGUGGCAUGUGCUUGCAUGCUUUCCGAUCAGGGAGUUGAAAGGUAAUCACACCUGUCUUACUUUGACCAACCCUAAUUUACCAAGACAGUUUGAAUAGCAAAGUUAUGAAUCAUGUUUGUGAUUUAUAGAACACUGCCACAGUCACCAAACCCUUUGGAUGAAGGAAAAUAAAAUGAGAGGAAAUUGUCCCUGAAUGUCCCUCAAAGGGGAAAAGAGGCAAAUUCGGUGGGUAAACUUUAUAUUUUGGAUUAGUCACUUGGUUCUUCUAUGAAUGAAGAAGGGGUUAAGGAAUGACUGCCUACAUUGUUUCUCUAAUAUCCUCUGGCAUCACUGCCAGCACUGCAUCCCACAGGACAGAGGAGCCGAUUUAUGGAAGGCGGCACUUAUCGACUACUAGAAGAUGGUAAUUCACAAUGAGGCUCUUCAACGUUGUAGCCGAUGCAUGUGAGGUGGGAAACGGGACUGCUGUUGUCAUUUCUCCCAAUUCCGUUCCUGCCUGCUUUAUCCUCACUGGUUCCAGGAAAGCCCCUUAUUAAUCGAAGGUUAAGUAAAUGUCACAUCCCUCUCUCCUCUCCUGGAUGAGCUCAAGCGUUGUUUCAUGAGCUGCUUAGUCUGACAUUAAUACAGUUCUGGAAUUUAAACAUCUGGGACCUUUGGAAUGGCAGGGCUGUGAAUGAGGAGACCCAAAGGUGUCAACUGCAAAGGAUGGAGCAAAGCCGUGUUUGAAUGGGUGGAAAAUCCACAGCUGGAGAACAGUUUGGAGCUGACCUGCCAUCGUCCUGAUACUAUUCCAGUUGUAGCCUCAGUUUGGGGACACGCCCCCUUUGCUUAGCCUUUGCCUAAGGCGGUAGUUUGGAGGAUCAAUAUGCACAUCUGUUCCGGUGCCCAGCCCCCCAAAUUUCCCGGCUGAGAUAGAUGCAACUCAGUGUGGGGCAGAGGGAGCUCAGCAAGGUCAGAGGGGCAAAGAACAGCUCUGGAGCAUGGAUCAAAGGGCACUGAGGGAAUAAAUAGAUGCUUCCUCCGUGCUCCAUCCCUCUUUAGGACCUGACAGGAUGGAAACAGGUUCUGCUGAAGGAUACUAGCAGAUCUUGAGUGCGGCUCUAAUGCAGGGGCGAGUAAAAUACGGCCUGUGGGCUGGAUCUGGCCCGCCUUACGUUCAAAUCCACCCUACCCCAAUACUCUGGGCUGCCAAUGUCCUGCAGCCCAGCGGGACCCUCGGGCCUGCCACGGCUCCACAUGCUGCUCAAAGUGACCAGCUGUUGGUGGAGAGUAAAGAUUUCCCACCUACAGACCUACUUUCCCCUGCAAGAGGGCUGGGUUGUCCCACCAGGGAGUACAUGAAGUGCUCUCUGAGAGCUCUGCCACUGGCGGUCCUGCGUCUUUUUUGCCUGUGUUUGAAAGGGUCUCUCCAGAACCAUUAGCCUCUUCUUGCUCCAAUCCAGUCUGAACGUUGUUCACUUCAUCACAGGCCUCUGUACCUCUUUCCAGGUGCUCUGUCUCAUUGUGGCACACCUCGCCUGGUUUCUUGUCCCACUUCUGCAUGCCUGUCCUCCCUGGGGCUACGUCUAGACUUCACGCCUCUUUCGAAAAAGAGCAUUGAGACUACAACCUGUACUUUCGAAAAAGCAAGCCGCUUUUUUGAAAGAGAGCACCCAGGCAGUCUGGAU